UGGUGAGUAUAGCUAUGGGGGUACACCUAGUUACAUUCCGAACCUAGAAGUUAAGCCCAUAUACGCUAAUGGUACUUGGCUGGAAGCGGCCUGGGAGAGUAUGGAUUUGCCAAGCU
rnacentral:rRNA from 1 species